ACCUGGUGAUGUGGGCAUUUAUGGAAAAGGUCCCAAAAGUGCUCCCAAGUCUCGAAAAAGAGUUCCUAACUCAUUUGUGAGAAACUUGUGAUGGCUCUCUGAAGCU